UACGGAGGGGGCAAGCGUUGUUCGGAGUUACUGGGCGUAAAGCGUGCGCAGGCGGCCCGUUAAGACAGGUGUGAAAUCCCUGGGCUCAACCUAGGAAUUGCGCUUGUGACUGGCGGGCUCGAGUACGGUAGAGGGGGGUGGAAUUCCUGGUGUAGCAGUGAAAUGCGUAGAGAUCAGGAGGAACACCGAUGGCGAAGGCAGCCCCCUGGGCCUGUACUGACACUGAGGCUCGAAAGCGUGGGUAGCAAACAGG
rnacentral:rRNA from 1 species